UGUGCUGAGGGAGGAGGAUGGCCUUCUCUGGGUGAGGGAGGGGCCGUGGGCUCUCUCUGACCUGGCUGGGCUGUAUGUAGUCCUGUCUGUGAGGACAUACCUGUGCUGUUACUUCUGCCUCUCUCUUGUCUGUUCUUCCCUACUUCUAGGUAAAACACUGGAGACAGGAUGAGCUUAUGAGCUUCGAUAGGUUGAAGGACCAGAGAUCCAGUGAGAUUAGUCCAUUCCAGAAUUUGCAGAAGCUGAGCCCAGGGCACCACUGAAGACUCGAAGAACAAUCUGAAGGGUCGGGCCCUUGAAGCAAGGCAGCAAACACCGCACUUGGAAGGAGUGUGGGAAAAUGUAGGCAAAAUCAAGGUCAUUGUGAAUAGGACAGAUCCAAUGACUCUCAAGGGAUCCUAGAGUCAUCCUCUUUAAAUGUGAAGUUGGAACUGAACAUUAGCUGUCUUUCUGGAGUUUGUUGUGAAGAAACUUUGUAAAGAGUAAAGUACUAUGGAAAAAUGGGAGUCAUCAUCAUUGUCAUCAUCAGUGUUCCUGAUAAACUGUCGUAGCCAGAAACUGGAACCAAAUUCCAGACAGUGUCUAAUGACCCCUGGCCCCACUCUGGCUCUCAUUCCUAUUUAGAACAUGUUUGCACAGGGGCUUUCAAAGCCCUAACCCAGAGGGAGAGACUAAUGGGUAGAGCUGCAGACACCUGGACAGGACCAUGGAGGCAUAAGAUUUUACAGCAAUGUCGCCUUUUUAGCUUCUUGAAUCUCAGGGUGUAGGUGACCGGGUUCUGUCCCCUGAAAGGAAGGAACCCUGGAGAAAUAUGAGCUGCUAUCAUCGGAGAUGGGUGGUGGGCAGGGUGCCGGUGUCUUCCAAUGGUCAGGCGGAGGCUGGCAUAGCUCUUUGGCUGGACCCUGAAGGGAAGAAUCAUGUCUGGAGAAAGAGAGCUUGGUUUUCAGCGUGGCUAGUUGGGAAACCUCUUCUGGGUUCAGGUGCUUAGGGAGAAAACCAGGGGAACUUAGCAUUGGUAGGAAUUACAUGAUAACAAUAAUAGCUGUCAUUAUAACAAUCAUUCACAUUUUUCUAGCCCUUCGAGGUUUAGAAAGUCCUUAGCACCACUGCUUGAGGUUGGUAUUGUAGGGAUGCUGUCCAUUUUAUGGAUGAGGAAACUCAACCUUAGGUCAAGGGACUUGUCGAUGACUGGUCACAAAGCUAGUAAGCACUCAAGUCAGGACUCUUGUACCACUAGUAACACAUACUGAUAGAGCAUGCAUAGUAGGGAUAUCACUGCUUACAUAUCUUCCUGAGGACAGGGACUAUCUUUUGCCUCUUUUUGUAGCUCCAACUCUUAGUUUAGUGCCUGGC